rnacentral:rRNA from 1 species
CCUACGGGCGGCAGCAGUGGGGAAUAUUGGACAAUGGGGGCAACCCUGAUCCAGCCAUGCCGCGUGUGUGAAGAAGGCCCUCGGGUUGUAAAGCACUUUCAGUGAGGAAGAACGCCUGGUGGUUAAUACCCAUCAGGAAAGACAUCACUCACAGAAGAAGCACCGGCUAACUCCGUGCCAGCAGCCGCGGUAAUACGGAGGGUGCGAGCGUUAAUCGGAAUUACUGGGCGUAAAGCGCGCGUAGGUGGCUUGAUAAGCCGGUUGUGAAAGCCCCGGGCUCAACCUAGGAACGGCAUCCGGAACUGUCAAGCUAGAGUGCAGGAGAGGAAGGUAGAAUUCCCGGUGUAGCGGUGAAAUGCGUAGAGAUCGGGAGGAAUACCAGUGGCGAAGGCGGCCUUCUGGACUGACACUGACACUGAGGUGCGAAAGCGUGGGUAGCAAACAGGAUUAGAUACCCCAGUAGUC